ACAGGUGCGUCCUUUCAUUGGUUUGGUUUAUAUAUAACGAAUUCUUAAACCUCAUCUCAUGUUGCAGACUUGCAAUUUUGAGAUCUCUUAUUUAUGUCUGUAUCGCUAACCAAAAACAUAUAUUUGUUGAUGAUGAUUUAUGAAAUAUCCAGACAUGGUAAGUAGAAUUCGUGUUCCUAUGUGUUGUUGAUUUAAUUUUUAAGUGGGUUUAGGAAAGUUUGAUUUUUGUUUUAUGUGUUUGUGAAAAAUUCGCCAAUUACUUAGGCCCUUUCAUUUGAGUAAUUGUUGAUGAUGAUUCAUGGAAUCCAGACAUGCCACGGCUCGGCUUCCCGAGGGUAUUAUAAGUGUGAUCUACGGAUUUGGUUCUACGGAUGGUGCAUUCACUUUCCAAUCAUAUCGAUGAUAUCGCCAAUGUUUGUUUUUCUACAUCUGUCAAUAUAUAUAUUGUAGCUUAGAUGAUCGAUAUUUAUUGAUAGCAUUUUGGAUGGAAGGUCUCAAAAUAUCAUGGUCGCCAAGGCCUGAACUUGAGUGUGCAGGGGAGAGGAUAAUCAAUCAUAAAUUCCAUCACCAUAUGUCUGACUGAAGGAGAAUCAAGAUUAGAAAAUAUCAGAAAGAAAGGAAAUACCGCAUGCCAAAAGAUCAUCUUGGCAGAACUUAAUUCAUGGUAUGGUAAUGAACUUUUUAGUUCACAACAAUCCUUACUAAUUCGUUACAAAUUAAAAUCCUUUGAGUCUCCACGUGCAGUGACCUAGGAUAAUAUGGUCAGCGAAUUCAGUUGCCACCACUAACUUAGCACCAUUUAGUCUUAUUCAAGCCAUUUUAAUACAAUAAAAGCGAUUCUCUGUGAAACUUUUAUGAGUGUAAGACUAUUUGAAUGCAUUUACAACAAUCACUAACGCUUAUAAAUUUUUCAUAUAUGUCAUUUUUAUAUAAUGUCAUGCAUGAUGGUCUUCAGGCAGACCACUUAAGAUGUUGUUGCAGCAGAAUGCCAUAGAUUGCAUGAGUUUUUACUACCAAACAGGUCAGAGGGGGGCAAUUAUAACUAUUAGCUCAAGCACA